UAUGUAGGUAUGGAAUCUGUGAAGGCACAUGCAUUUCUAGGUUGACUACGCUCCUUGUAAUUUGAAAUGGAAAAGUCAGUAAAAUCAAACAAGAUAUUUCUACAGACAGAUAUCAUCUGCCAGUGAAGGUACUGCUAAACAAACGUGUCCACAGACAGAUAUCCUCUGCCAGUGAAGGUACUGCUAAACAAACGUGUCCACAGACAGAUAUCCUCUGCCAGUGAAGGUACUGCUAAACAAACGUGUCCACAGACAGAUAUCCUCUGCCAGUGAAGGUACUGCUAAACAAACGUGUCCACAGACAGAUAUCCUCUGCCAGUGAAGGUACUGCUAAACAAACGUGUCCACAGACAGAUAUCAUCUGCCAGUGAAGGUACUGCUAAACAAACGUGUCCACAGACAGAUAUCCUCUGCCAGUGAAGGUACUGCUAAACAAACGUGUCCAC
ensembl:lncRNA